GCAAAUGGGCUUAAGACUUAGGCCCAGUUGGAUAGUAAUCUUUGUCUCGUAGCGCUUGGGCUACUCGGUCAGGUAGUCUUUGUACCGCUCAACCACCCAACGGGUCUUCUUCUCAUACUCGGCUAGAUUCCAUGGUAUCGUUCAGAUGGCUUUGUGCACCAAAGCUAUCCGGUCAAAUCUUCCUUUCUACUCGCUAAUUCUUUUCACCAGGUCGGUUUUUCCCCUUCAACUCGUCUGGUAUGCUUCUUCACUCGUCCUCACUUCCUUCACCUCAAGUAACAUCUUCAUAACCCAACCCUCUUCAAUUCUUGAUUCUUCAAGGUGGAAUAAGUCUUAAGUGAAAGCGCUUAGGACUUCAUUUGCUUUGAAAGUCAUGGAUCGUGUCCACCUAACUUGGGUUCUUCAAUGUGUUUGUUCCAUGAUGUAAGUUACCUGGGUUCACAUCAGAGAGUCGGAGUAGGAAUAUAACUUCGGUAGAUCUGAGAAUCGAGAUCAAGUAAAUAAAUGUCAAAAGGAAAAAACUAGGGUAAUUUUAUAAGUAAUUUCUUUCGAAGUCGGUCAAUUUUAAAACUUAUUAUAUGAAAUAUAUUUUUAUCUUUUAUUCUAUAGUAUUUGACAUAUAAUGGUGCGAAAAAUUAUCAACAAACAUCAUCAUUAUCUGAAUUAAUUUUUUUUUUAAAUGAAAUUGUCAGUUGUAACGAACCAAACCUAUUGUGUGAUUUCAAGGUAAAUGUACUUAAGGUCACAACCACAAGUCACAACCCUAUGAUGUUCCAAAUAAAACUAAAAUCAUACUCAAUCUUGAAAAAAGAAAUAUUGUACUUACUACCUAGUACCUACAGCCAUAAAAAAAUAAUUAUAUGAGUACUUUUUUGUUUUAAAUUUUCUACCAAAAUUAGUAGAUCUCUAUUAGAGGUGAGUAAAAAACCCGAAAACUGAAUAUCCGAACCGAUCCAAACCGAAAAUUUAAAAUUCGGUUCGGUUUGUUUGGUUCGGUUCGGUUUUAGAAUUUUGAAAAUUUCGAUUUUUCGGUUCGGUUCGGAUGGAAUAAAAAACUGAAUAACCGAAUUAUAUUUUAAUAUAUAUAUAUAUAUAAUAUUAUUUAAAUAUAUUUGAAAUAAAACGCUAAAACUAAAACAUCAAAAUCGUGUCUGUGAAUACUCCGCCGCUCUGCCUCCUUUUCUCCCCAAAUCUCUCCACCUCUCCACCACCAAGCCGUCGCCCCUCCAGCGGCGCCUCCACUCCGUCACAGAGAGAGAGCUCCCGGCCCGUCGCCCUUCAGUCACGCUUCAAACCGUCGUCCGACUCGCCCCCCACAGCUUCACGCCUUCGUCUUCACGGCUCCAGCUCCAGAUCCAGCUCCAGCUCCUAUCCAUUUCACUUAGCAUAGCUUAUUCUUCAACCUUUAUUCAUAUAUGGAUUAAAUUUAGUUUCUCAAUAGGCAACAAAAUCUAGUUAAAUUUCAGUUUAAUCAUGAGUUUGUAUUGUUUUAGUUCUGCACAAUCGAUUAAUUACCUAAAUUAUGGUUGUACUGUAUUAAGAUAUUAGCUAUACUAAUUAAAUAAAACCAGCCUUCGGUUUUUUGUAUAA